GAGUUUGAUCAUGGCUCAGGAUGAACGCUAGCGGGAGGCCUAACACAUGCAAGCCGAGCGGGAUUUGUUGGUUAGCUUGCUAACUAAUAAUGAGAGCGGCGUACGGGUGCGUAACACGUGUGCAACCUGCCUUUAUCUGGGGGAUAGCCUUUCGAAAGGAAGAUUAAUACCCCAUAAUAUAUUAAUUGGCAUCAAUUGAUAUUGAAAGCUCCGGCGGAUAGAGAUGGGCACGCGUAAGAUUAGCUAGUUGGUGAGGUAACGGCUCACCAAGGCUGCGAUCUUUAGGGGGCCUGAGAGGGUGAUCCCCCACACUGGUACUGAGACACGGACCAGACUCCUACGGGAGGCAGCAGUGAGGAAUAUUGGACAAUGGGUGAGAGCCUGAUCCAGCCAUCCCGCGUGAAGGACUAAGGACCUAUGGUUUGUAAACUUCUUUUAUACAGGGAUAAACCUACUCUCGUGAGGGUAGCUGAAGGUACUGUAUGAAUAAGCCCCGGCA
rnacentral:rRNA from 1 species